rnacentral:rRNA from 1 species
AAGGGCACCACAAGAACGCGUGGAGCAUGUGGCUUAAUUUGACUCAACGCGGGAAAUCUUACCGGGUCCGGACACACUGAGGAUUGACAGGUAACAAUAUAAGCUCAGCUUCGGGAUCUUUUUUUCGUCGCUGUUUUUAUAUACAAAUAUGCUAGUCCUUUCAUGAUUAUGUGAUAGGUGGUGCAUGGCCGUUCUUAGUUCGUGGAGUGAUCUGUCUGCUUAAUUGCGUUUCAUUAUGGACUAUGAUAUAUAUGUUGCGUGGUUUAUUUUGACUACUCUUCAAUGGUUGCGAAUUUCUUUCUUUGGCUGCCGGCUUACUUGUAAGCUAUUGCCGUUGACUGUUUUUUCGUUCUCAUUUGUAGUUCUUUAUAGGCUUGCGUACUUCUGGUCCUGAAAGCAACGAACGUGACCGCAUCCUCUUGUUGCCUCUUAUAUCUGUACAAUAUAAGAUUGAGGCACUGGCAUUUUUUUGCCCUUGUUUCUUUCUUUGUUUUUGUACUAACCAAAGAGCGCUUUGAAAACUAGAGGGACCGCUGAGCCUUUUUUAAACCAGAGGAAGGUUGCGGCAAUAACAGGUCUGUGAUGCCCUUAGAUGUUCCGGGCUGCACACGUGCUACAAUGAUUAUUGCAGUGAGCAUCUCAUUUUAUAACACUGUAGUCUUCAAUUUGUAUUUUUUUACGAAUUGUUGCAUCAGUUAAGCCUGCUUCGAAAGUUCGCAGGUAAUCAAUUGGAAGUAAUGAUUUCCCACAACUCAAAUUAAUUUUUGAUUUUGAAUAAGCACACAAUAUGCUACUCUCCUCCCGGGUCCUUGGCAAUUUUGUCCGAGUUCCUUUGAGCGGGGAGAUGUUUUUAGCAUGUGCUUUUGUCAAUUCAUGGUGGGGACAGACCAUUGUUAAUUGUUGGUCUCGGUCUCAACUAGGAAUGCCUUGUACGGGUCUUUGGUUCAACAAACCACCCGGAAUACGUCCCUGCCCUUUGUACACACCGCCCGUC